AUCUCCCCAUCAUUCCCCUCGGGGGCCAAUCCCCGCUCUGGCGUAAGUGCCUUGGUUAGCAUGUACUCAUACCGAUCGGCGGCGGCGACACUCACAAAUUUUUGUCGGUCAUAUGUUUGUGGCAGUGGAGCGGCGCUUGAACUCGCCCCCCGUUGGCGUUUGUAUGUCGGUUGAGAAGCCAUUGAAUUUCAACGGUGAACUCUUGCUAGUAAACACUACCUUUCCCAAAAACUUGGUUUAGUCAAUUUGUCAAACACUUGGCGUGCACAGCUCGUUCGGAUCCCCCAAACUUAGGUUGGUUCUAUGGAGUUGAGAAAAGAUGAAGACUUAACACGAACGCAACUUACUCUCAAGUGUGUGUUUCCCAAUUUCUUGAAGAAUUCGAGUUUAAUGGUGUUGAAUAUGGGAAGUAUGAGGUAGGGUUUAUAUAGGAGUGAUGUGGGGGAGAGGAAGAGGUGGACGUGAUGGAGGCUAUGUGGAAAUUCGUGGGGUAGAAGGUGGGUGUAAUGGAUUUAGGUAGUGGGUAAUUUUGAUGUAGGUAAUGGGAUGAAGAAGUUACUAUGAGAUGGCAACGUGGGUUGUGUUUAGGAGAGAAAACAGAGAUGGCACCAG
rnacentral:lncRNA from 1 species